CGCGCGCGUGCGCCGAAUUCCGCAAGGGAACCGGGGAACCACCACCUUGGGGUGAAUCGGGCCGAAGUGGGCCCGUAGGAGACCUUCCUGCUCCGAACCCGUCAGCUAACCCGGUAGGCGAGAAGGAAGGAAAGG
rnacentral:sRNA from 2 species